rnacentral:rRNA from 1 species
AACGAACGCUGGCGGCAUGCCUAACACAUGCAAGUCGAACGAGACCUUCGGGUCUAGUGGCGCACGGGUGCGUAACGCGUGGGAACCUGCCCUUAGGUUCGGAAUAACUCCCCGAAAGGGGUGCUAAUACCGGAUAAUGUCUUCGGACCAAAGAUUUAUCGCCUUUGGAUGGGCCCGCGUUGGAUUAGCUAGUUGGUAGGGUAAAAGCCUACCAAGGCGACGAUCCAUAGCUGGUCUGAGAGGAUGAUCAGCCACACUGGGACUGAGACACGGCCCAGACUCCUACGGGAGGAAGCAGUGGGGAAUAUUGGACAAUGGGCGAAAGCCUGAUCCAGCAAUGACGCGUGAGUGAUGAAGGCCUUAGGGUUGUAAAGCUCUUUUACCCGGGAUGAUAAUGACAGUACCGGGAGAAUAAGCUCCGGCUAACUCCGUG